AAGUCUGGUAGACCUGAAGCUGGUGCCCCGCAACGGAGCCAGUUAGGGUAGAACAGGUAACUGGGGCUAAGUCGUAACAAGGUAGCCGUACCGGAAGGUGCGGCUGGAUCACCUCCUUUCUGGAGC
rnacentral:rRNA from 1 species